CCCUUAGAUGUUCUGGGCCGCACGCGCGCUACACUGACGAUGGCAACGAGUUUUUCCUUCGCCGAAAGGUGUGGGUAAUCUUUUGAAACAUCGUCGUGCUGGGGAUAGAUCAUUGCAAUUUUUGAUCUUGAACGAGGAAUUCCUAGUAAGCGCGAGUCAUCAGCUCGCGUUGAUUACGUCCCUGCCCUUUGUACACACCGCCCGUCGCUACUACCGAUUGAAUGGUUUAGUGAGGACUCCUGAUUGGCGCCGCCGCCCCGGCAACGGAGCAGCGGACUGCCGAAAAGUUGUCAAACUUGAUCAUUUAGAGGAAGUAAAAGUCGUAACA
rnacentral:rRNA from 1 species